GGGGGUUACUAUCUUGGAAUCUAGGGGCACUCCAGGCUCUGGGCUCAGACGGCUGGCUUCUGCCUACCCGAGCCUUAACCUUUCAAGGACCAGAAGGAUUCCAGAGCUCUUGCCCUAGGUCCUGGGGCAGCGAUGACUCACUGCAGCACCCCCUCCCACUUCGCCAAGCUGCCGUCUCCGCCCACCCCCAAACAAUCUCGACAGCGCAUUUCGGGAGCCACGGCUCCGGGCGCUUUGCUGGGGGCUAAAGGGGUUUAUCCCUUUCCUUGAAUCCCAGCAGGCUAGAACUACCCCCUCCCAGUCUUCAGGCUUGCCACGCUCUCCACCCGAUCCUUCCAUUGAAAGGCAGAGAAGGAAGGAUGUGCUUGGGAACUUUAAGACCCACGAACGACAGCGCACUGAUGGAGCAGCCCAGUGUCUGGGGCAAAGUCCUCGAGGUUCAUUCAUUCAGGAAGCCUCUGACCAGCCUUUACCAUGCGCUGAGUGAGAAGCUGAGGAUAAGGAAAGAGCAAGACCCCCAAGAAACCCUGAUGUCUGGCUGAAAGCCGAAGCAUGACGCAACUUUGCUAUAUUUCUCUCCAACAAGGAUUUGUAUAUUUUCGCUUUCUCCUCAAGUAACACCUGGACCUGCUCCUUUCCCUUCAAACGCUGAGGGCUCAGUCUCCAAGUUCCUUUAUGAAACAGGGUGUACCAUCAGAGACGCAGACUUCAGAAAUGAAGAUGCAAAGACAACAGGGGAAACCAUAUAUGUUUAUGGACAGUCAUGCCAAAGUAUGAUUGGAAGACAAAAAGAUUUUUGGCCAAUUCACUGCUCACUAACAUCUCCAUCAAAGGGAAAAACACACAUUGUAAAAUAAGAAUUCUUCAAAGACAACUUGAAGACAUCUGGGAAUUCUGAAGCCUGAAAAUUCCAUGAGUUCAUAGCAGUGUUCACUAAUUCCACUGAUCUAAAGACAAAAAGGAGAGUCAACUGCGUGCCCAAACUCAUUUCUGAUGAUUUCUUCCAUCCUAACUUUUCUGCCUCUCUGGGGGUGGUUAUGCCUGUGAAAAACAUUGAAGCUGUCAGGAACAGAGUCGGCUUUCAAGAUUGGAAUGUCAAAGUAGAGUCUUCUUUUCCUCAGACCAGAAGGGGCUUGGUUGGGUAAGAGUUUCCAGAUCUAAAUGGAGACAGGACUGGGAUAUAGGAGCUUGUACGGAUAAACAACACAAACACCUUGGGUAAGUGAUACACCAAGAGAGAUCAAAAUAGGGUAGGAACACGAUCCUAAAGCUAUGUGAGAUACGAAGCCAAGAGACCCUGUCUACAGGCUGAUAUGUAUUGCAACCAGAGGCCACCUACACUCAAGAAAAUUCUAAAUGAUGUAAUAGGUUGUGGACACUUUCUUGUAAAAAUGAUCGAUAUUUUUUUCUUAUAGGGAUAAAGCUUAAAAGCAUGGGAUGUAUCUCCAUUAGGAAAUAUGAAGUGAGUUGGUAUAUUACAGGUAGGUUAGACUGAGAUAAUUAUAAAACUGGGCUGAUUUUACAUAGAGAAGAACUUGAUUCCUAAAGGUGUUGAAGGACAAGAUGGGGACAGUUAUUGAAGUGUUCAGGUGCUGUCCUUUGUAGUCUGUAGCCUAUUAAAAUAAUACACAACUGAACACAGACCCAAGGAAAGGGGUUCUACUCAUCGCUAGAAUGUAAACUCUAAGAAGAUAAGGAUUUUGUCUGCUUCAUUUAUUACUGUAUUCCCAGCUCCUAAAAGAGUGUCCAGCACUUAGUAUCUGUUGGUAAGUACCUGUUGAAUUAAUUAACCAGUGAUGAGACUUUGGAAAGCAGCUAGUCCAUCUGUAAGAUUGUUUUCUCAUCUGUGAGAUGAGUCAGUUAGAUUAGAUGUUUUCUAAGCUUAUUCUAGUUUUAAAAUUGUAUAUUUCUAUAAGAAAUGAUAAAUGAAAAAUGUCCAUUCCUUUUUCAUCUCCAUCACCCAUCUCACAUCUUCCUUCAGUGCCUAUGUGAUCUGUUUGAGUAUAACCAGGUGUACAAAAGUACUAAGUGAUAUGAGAUGACUUCAGUAGUCCAGGGACUCUUUCUUCCCCCACUCUGUAAAGAGUUAUUUGCUUAAUUUAAUGUACAUUAUAAAAACAGAA
rnacentral:lncRNA from 1 species